ACAACUAUUGUGCAUCGCCUUUGUAUUGACUUGGGCAAGAGUGGCUUGUAUGGAUUCAAUGAUCCAUGUUUCAUUCAGAGUGAAUGUGAUUCUAUUGGGGCUCAAAAAUACAUACAAAAUAAGUUGCAGCAGGAUCAAAAAGAGUGUUAUCUGUUACCUUAUCUCAACAAAGCUUUGGGUGAAUAUAAUAAGUUGCGAAGAUUAAGAAAGAAUAAGCCCACAUAGAGCAUUUCCACUCGCCAAAGACAACCUAAAGGUUAUGAGUGUGGUUACUACAUUAUGAUACAUAUGUUGAACAUUGUAUCUAGUGGCCUUGUUGAUUCAUGCAUGCGGAUAUUUGGAGACUCAAAACCAUUCGAAGAUGAAGAAAUGAUGAAUGUCUGACAACGUUGUGCAAACUUGAUUCUUGAACUAAUAGAAAAUACUUGAAGCAUUUGUAUCAUUUUAGUAUCUUUAGACUAUUAAUAGAAGAUAAUGUUUUUGUUUUUAACUAGUGAAUA